GAUGAACGCUGGCGGCGUGCCUAAUACAUGCAAGUCGAGCGAACAGACGAGGAGCUUGCUCCUCUGACGUUAGCGGCGGACGGGUGAGUAACACGUGGAUAACCUGCCUAUAAGACUGGGAUAACUUCGGGAAACCGGAGCUAAUACCGGAUAAUAUAUUGAACCGCAUGGUUCAAUAGUGAAAGACGGUUUUGCUGUCACUUAUAGAUGGAUCCGCGCCGCAUUAGCUAGUUGGUAAGGUAACGGCUUACCAAGGCAACGAUGCGUAGCCGACCUGAGAGGGUGAUCGGCCACACUGGAACUGAGACACGGUCCAGACUCCUACGGGAGGCAGCAGUAGGGAAUCUUCCGCAAUGGGCGAAAGCUUGACGGAGCAACGCCGCGUGAGUGAUGAAGGUCUUCGGAUCGUAAAACUCUGUUAUUAGGGAAGAACAAAUGUGUAAGUAACUAUGCACGUCUUGACGGUACCUAAUCAGAAAGCCACGGCUAACUACGUG
rnacentral:rRNA from 1 species